rnacentral:rRNA from 1 species
UGGGGAAUAUUGGACAAUGGGGGCAACCCUGAUCCAGCCAUGCCGCGUGAGUGAUGAAGGCCUUCGGGUUGUAAAGCUCUUUUGGCGGGGACGAUGAUGACGGUACCCGCAGAAUAAGCCCCGGCUAACUUCGUGCCAGCAGCCGCGGUAAUACGAAGGGUGCAAGCGUUACUCGGAAUUACUGGGCGUAAAGCGUGCGUAGGUGGUUGUUUAAGUCUGAUGUGAAAGCCCUGGGCUCAACCUGGGAAUGGCAUUGGAAACUGGGCAGCUAGCGUGCGGUAGAGGGUAGUGGAAUUCCCGGUGUAGCAGUGAAAUGCGUAGAGAUCGGGAGGAACAUCUGUGGCGAAGGCGACUGCCUGGACCAGCACUGACACUGAGGCACGAAAGCGUGGGGAGCAAA